rnacentral:rRNA from 1 species
UACGGGGGGAGCAAGCGUUGUUCGGAUUUACUGGGCGUAAAGGGCGCGUAGGCGGUCAGCACAAGUCAGUUGUGAAAUCUCCGGGCUUAACUCGGAAAGGUCAACUGAUACUGUGCGACUAGAGUGCAGAAGGGGCAACUGGAAUUCUCGGUGUAGCGGUGAAAUGCGUAGAUAUCGAGAGGAACACCUGCGGCGAAGGCGGGUUGCUGGGCUGACACUGACGCUCAUGCACGAAAGCGUGGGGAGCAAACAGG